rnacentral:tRNA from 2 species
CGGGGUGUGGCGCAGUCUGGCAGCGCGCAUGGUUUGGGUCCAUGAGGCCCCCGGUUCAAAUCCGGGCACCCCGA